ensembl:lncRNA
GUGUGUGGUUGCUACUGUGUCUCUCCUUCAUUCAGACGCGUGCUGGUCUCUCCGGAGAACGCCUUGCUGAAGUUGACACAGUGGAUGUCUCUUCCAAUUACAGGACAGUUCAGCCAGGAGGAUAUUGUUUGAAAGUUGGAUUACAGCUUGCAGCGGAAAGGAGUCGCCUAUACUGCCCGUCAGCUGCAGCCCAGAAGAUGUAGUGAAGUGGAGGAAAGCAACAUAAAAAAGAGACUCAUGGCCAUGUGGUGAGCCUAGCUUAAGCCCCCCCUAUGCUGUGCACCCCCUG